rnacentral:rRNA from 1 species
UACGUAGGGUGCAAGCGUUAAUCGGAAUUACUGGGCGUAAAGCGUGCGCAGGCGGUUCGCUAAGACAGAUGUGAAAUCCCCGGGCUUAACCUGGGAACUGCAUUUGUGACUGGCGGGCUAGAGUAUGGCAGAGGGGGGUAGAAUUCCACGUGUAGCAGUGAAAUGCGUAGAGAUGUGGAGGAAUACCGAUGGCGAAGGCAGCCCCCUGGGCCUGCACUGACACUCAUGCACGAAAGCGUGGGGAGCAAACAGG